rnacentral:rRNA from 1 species
AGUGAACGCUGGCGGUAGGCCUAACACAUGCAAGUCGAACGGCAGCACAGUAAGAGCUUGCUCUUACGGGUGGCGAGUGGCGGACGGGUGAGGAAUACAUCGGAAUCUACUUUUUCGUGGGGGAUAACGUAGGGAAACUUACGCUAAUACCGCAUACGACCUACGGGUGAAGCAAGGGAUCUUCGGACCUUUCGCGGUUGGAUGAGCCGAUGUCGGAUUAGCUAGUUGGCGGGGUAAAGGCCCACCAAGGCGACGAUCCGUAGCUGGUCUGAGAGGAUGAUCAGCCACACUGGAACUGAGACACGGUCCAGACUCCUACGGGAGGCAGCAGUGGGGAAUAUUGGACAAUGGGCGCAAGCCUGAUCCAGCCAUACCGCGUGGGUGAAGAAGGCCUUCGGGUUGUAAAGCCCUUUUGUUGGGAAAGAAAAGCAGCAGGUUAAUACCCCGCUGUUCUGACGGUACCCAAAGAAUAAGCACCGGCUAACUUCGU